UGUUGUCCUGAAAGGCGGAAGAUGAAUCGCUCGCUGUAUUUUGAAAUCAACACUGGGAUGUAAUUAACAAUUAUUGAUAUAAUUAAUGAACAUAACGAUACCCGUUAUAUGUAAUGUGUCCCUCGCUUCGACUUAAAUUCUGUUCUAUCUCUAUUCCAAUUCACUUUUAUGAUCAUCGAGCGUUAAUUAUUUAUUGUUGUUGCUAUCCCUGCAAAUAGUUAUCCAAGAAAAUUUUAUUUUAGUUAUAUGGCGAUACAUGUAUACGCGCUAUCGACUAUAAAUAUUAGCACAUAUAUAGACACUACAUAUAUAGACUCGUUAUAUCUAUUGGACAAAUCUAACAAAUUUUAGUUUAUCUCAUAUAUUAUGCCAUAAGGCACAAAUCACGCGGAUGAAAUAGUAGACUUAUUGCGAAGUAAUUAAAAAUGAGAGCUACGACAAACAUUCGAUUGAUACCAAAUACACAUGCUACAAAUAUCUUAAAAUUUCUGACUAAUAGUGUAUACCAUAGAGGAUUGCAGACUUAGCGUUUCAUUAAUAUGUUACAAGAAAUUACGAUUGGCAAACCAAUAUAGCGUAGUUUCUUUAUAGAUCUCGAAAAUUUAUUUAACACGAGAGAUUAACGAUAAAUCGAUCGAUAUCAAUAUCGAUCAUUCAUCGUCGAAUUUUAUUCCACCCCUUAUAUCGUAAUCAUGUGUGUGUGUGUAUCAUAUGUAUGGUAUGUACAAGAGGUUUUAGAUUAGAUUUUCAUUAUCACGCGAUUAAACGAAAUUUUGUUGUGCUAAUGAAUGAGGCGUCACAUUGUUAAAUGAUCGGAACCGAAUGGGAAAUAUCUGUGAUUCAUUACUUGAUACGACCGAUAGUAUAUAAUAAUUACGUACUUAUCAGUCAAUCCCAUGGUUAUCUAACUUACACAACUUGAAACUUUGAAGUCUGUUGAAAGGACAAAAUUUCAAGGACAACGGGUAAAAAUGUUCCAUGUCGAUAAAAACACUUAUGCAACGCUUGCCAAAUAGUUUUUCAGUUACGAAUAUCUUUAACAAAUACAUAUCUUACACGAGCAAAAGUAAUCGUAACCCACGUCUAUCGGUAUUUAUGCAAGACAACAUUUUUUCUUGUUUUGCAACAUAGUGGCAAAAAACUUUGAUAGUCGAAAUUGAGACAAGUGAACUUCAAACUUUGUCGAUUGCAACGAAACAAAGGGGAUGCAAAAAACAACAGACGAGUCAAUUAAAUUCUCCUCUUUAAACGGUAUUUCGUCGCUAGAUUACGAGUGUUUAUGUAGAUUUAUACUCUUAUGGAAUUUUUGGCCCGAGAUUUCUUUCACUCGAUACUCCGGUCAGCAAUAAUCGAAGAGUACUUGCAGAAGACACCGUGAGUGGUAAAACUGAAGAAUUUUCUUUUUCUUAUUGAAAAAUGUUCUAACAUACCAUACCAUAGUAUAGCAUUUAAGCGCAAUUAGCCUCUCUAAAUAGUUAUCAAUAAUGCUAGAAGAUGGUGUCAGUGGCACGUCCAACGUCGCCUCUGUAGUGUAAAGAGAAAUAUAAGUGUCAGCUAAUAAUAAUAAUUGUUUCUUGGCUUUUGUCUAUACCAUCUAUUUAAAUAAAUGGAACAUUGAGUUUUCUUUAAAACUAAGAAGUGGCACGUACAGAGUUUCCUAUAUAUACACUUUCCUUUUUCAUGAAUUUGGGAUACAUUUUUAUUUUUCUGAAUUACUAACUUUGCACUAUGAAAUUUUCUUGAAACAGAGAGGAUGGAGAUGGAAAUGAAGAAGAUCGAUUAAGCUGGUGUUAUUCCUCUUUUUCAACCAUACUUUAUUACAUUCUGUUAGAAAUAAUACACAGAAGAUUCUCAGGGGCGGCGAAGCUUUUCACGCCGAUCACGCACGAGGUGAGUUUGUCGUUCGAUCGAGAAAUCGAGGGCCCCGUGGAUCGUGUGGCGAACCGUUGUCUGCGACCCCCCGAAUGAAAACGAUCGAUCAUGCACUGUUAAAUCGAGAAUAUAUAUAUAUAUAUAAUAUAAUAUAUAUAUAUAUAAUCUUAAUUAAUAUUUGUAUUAAUGAGAGUCUGCGAGAGACCAUAAAUAUGAUUAUAUAUAUAUAUAGAGAGAGAGAAGGGCACGCCGAUUUCUUUUCCUUUGUCUCUCUUUCUCUUUCGUAUUUUCUUAGGAUCGCAGACUCGGUUGGCUCGAUUUGCGAUUAACGUUCGAGUAAGUAAAAUGCUUACGUAAAUGCGCCUAUUUGAAAAAACGAAUAAUGUCACAAAACGACGUGAGCGUUUAUCUUCGGUUUUUAGCCACUCUUAUAGAGUGUGUUUUUCACUCGGUUACGUUUUCUUUCUCAUCGUGCUUUUCAUUGUAUAUCUCUCUUUCGUUUUGUUUCGAUUUGUCCAUCGAUCGAUCCAAAAAUCACAUAUACGCGACAAAUUAAGAAUAUCAUACUUUAUUGUUUCUUUUUACCACUUUUUGGUAUUACUUUCGUUUGAACGUCAAUAUAUGUAUUUGGUGUUCGAUUACGAAGCAAGUGUUAGUUUCAUUUCGAGUUCCUUCGUGGAUCCCUAAAGGUAGACAUCCGUCGAUUAUUCAGAUAAGAAAUCUUGUGAUACGGUAUUCUCGUGAUAAGCUUCAUUCAAUAAAUAUUUUUUCCCUCUCCAAUGAAUAUGUAGGUGAAGAAAUUUCUCAAUUUUAUCCCAAGGUCUCGGAUAUCUCGCGAAAUUGUCUUGGGAAUUUUUCCCGAGUAAUUCUCCUCUACUGAAGGAUUUUCUCUUGGAAAAACACCCGAGAGAGGUUCGUCAAAUUUCGAUCGUCCUGGACCACGAUGAUCCCUUACGAAGAUAUUAAAACCAUAUAUUCAAUCUUUUCUUUGAAAAGACCUAACAAUAUCGUACACACGAGGAGUGCGAUCUUCGUUAAUAAGAUCUGAUGAACGAAAAGAUCGAGGAACGUAGAAUUAAUAACCCGACGAUCCUCUACAAGAGGAAACGUUCAAUGUCGGCAGAUUUUUCGACUCCAGAAAAUUCUUGGUAACCGAGGGAACGAUGAUCCAACAAGAAUCCAUGAUCGUUUCACGCUCGGAACGAAUGAAAAGGGAAAAGACUCAAGGUCGACGAGGCACAAUCUAUUGAAGCACCAUAGGUUCAGGGGCACGGGCGCGCGCGCGCGCACACACACACACACACACACACACACACACACCGCACGGUGGUUUAUCUCGACUCGAUACGAAUAUAAUUAAUAACGCGCGAAAGUGGAAACGAUAUCGGUCGUUAUCCACAUUUCCGUGCCUCGAUUGAGAAAAAACGCGGCUCAACGAAUGACGUAGGCAAUUGCAAGCGAAAAUUACGUUAUUUAGCGAGUGAAGAAAGAAGAUAUAUGUUUGAUACAAAGAAACGAGGAAUAUUCUUAACGAUAGUGUCUUCAGAAAACUUCAUUUUCCACUGAGAAAAAGUUUUGGUCGAUGCAAGUCCACGAGACGAUUUUAUCGUUUCAGAGUAAAUAAUAAUUUAUUAUUACCCUUUCCUUUAUGACAAUCUAUUCAUGGUCUGACACGACCAAUGUUCUUCUUUCCUUUUUUUUUUCUUUUCUCUUUUCUUUUAUUUUAUAUUUCCUUUCCUACACCGCAUAGAAUUCUCGUAUUAGUAAGUCCUAUUAGUUAAUGCCUGCACAACGCAGCUCUUUGAAAUAAAUACAGAAACAGAUAACGAAAACGGCUUCGAGGAAUGCGAGCAAUGUUCUAUAUUCGUCCUGCGAAUAUCACUGAGUUGUCCUUUAUUCACUGGCUGUGUCACAAGGAACACAAUUCUUUUACUUGGAGUCUUUUUAUAAACCUCUUCUGGCAGUCGUUUUCGGUACGACAAACACCAAACGAUAUUCCGCUACGAGACACAAUGAAUUUUGUGCAGUUGUGAUGACAGUGUACGACCAGCGAAGUUUCAUCGUCGACCAUUUCUAAUAAGGAAUUUCCUCUUCUCCUUUCCUCUUCCUUUUAUUUUUUUUUUUUUUUUUCUUUUCUUUUUUCUCAAUGGCGACGAUCGUAAUUGCGCAUCGGGAAACAUGUCGACUGUGGCUCGAUCGAAAGGUUUAUUAGUAUAGUCCUAAUAUAGGACAGUGAAUAUUAAAUAUU